CUGGGCAAAAGUUUGAUGGUGAUACUCAAGAUACCAAUGACGAUGAUGGUGAUUAUUUCACUGGAGCUUUGGAUGUUUAAAGCCAUUAGCAUAUCUGUUUUAUGAUUUUUUUUUUCUUUAUGUAGUGUCCAAUUAAGAAGAAAUUAGUACUUUAUGUCUUUAACUAUAUACUUUGCUAUUUUGUUAUUUUAUUAUUUUAUUUUAUUUUUUGUUAAGGAAUUUGUU
rnacentral:lncRNA from 1 species